rnacentral:lncRNA from 1 species
UCUAAUAUAAAAAUUUAUUAAGAUUUUUAAAUAAUAGAAUCAAAUAAAAUAAAACCUAUAUAAUUGAAGAAUCUAUUAAAUACGAUUGUACAAGAUUAGAUUUGUGAUUUCUAAUUUGAUUCUAUUUGCAAGGAUUUUACCACCCAUUUAAUACUACUAUCAUUCCUUAAAACUAGCCAAAGAAAGAAAAUUGAAAGGACUUAUUGGUGUCUAUUUUCCAUAGCUUUUAUGUAGCACAAUGUAGAAAAACAAAAAUAAUAAAAUAACAAACAUUUUGGACACAAAAAAUCGUUCUAUCUCAAAAAAAUUGGAUUGAUUUUCCAAAAUACAAACCCAACCAAUUAAAACUUUUUGAUAAUAACCAAUCAAAAAAAUUACAAGUUGUAGUCGCUUGCAUUUUCUUUUACACACCUUGUCUUUGAGACACAAAGAUCUCCUUGCCACCAAAACAAACACACUGUACAAGCACACAAGCUACAAACAAGUAGAAUAGAGGGUUUGGAAUGACCUUGGACCACCCAAGAAUUGGCAGAACCCGAAGAAUGCAAAAUAGUGCUCGACAAGGUGGGCGUUCAGCUCAGAUCCCAAAACCAGCUGUGAAAUCUAAACAGACGUGCCUAAUAAAACCCUGAGCACACUGGAAUUACCCAUUACUCACUGUUUGUGUGCUCUCCAGUCAACAACAAACAAACAACAAGUGGAUCUGAGAGACAGUUUGGGGCCAUGACAGACCAGGGAAUAGGAGGGAGGGAGGCUCAAAUGAUCACCUUACACACGAAGAAGC